GACGAACGCUGGCGGCGUGCUUAACACAUGCAAGUCGAACGGAAAGGCCCUGCUUGCCGGGUACUCGAGUGGCGAACGGGUGAGUAACACGUGGGUGAUCUGCCCUGCACUUCGGGAUAAGCCUGGGAAACUGGGUCUAAUACCGGAUAGGAGCCAUUUUUAGUGUGAUGGUUGGAAAGUUUUUUCGGUGUAGGAUGAGCUCGCGGCCUAUCAGCUUGUUGGUGGGGUAAUGGCCUACCAAGGCGGCGACGGGUAGCCGGCCUGAGAGGGUGGACGGCCACAUUGGGACUGAGAUACGGCCCAGACGCCUACGGGAGGCAGCAGUGGGGAAUAUUGCACAAGGGGCGCAAGCCUGAUGCAGCGACGCCGCGUGGGGGAUGACGGCCUUCGGGUUGUAAACUCCUUUCGCUAGGGACGAAGCUUUUUGUGACGGUACCUAGAUAAGAAGCACCGGCUAACUACGUG
rnacentral:rRNA from 1 species